CGCUCUGCUGCUCGCGCCACGCCUGCUACUGCUGCAGGUCGCGCCGCCACCACCGCCAGGCUCCUACGCGCCUGCUGCUGCCGCUCGCGCCGCCGCCGCCGGUCUCCUCCGCGACUGCUGCUGCCGCUCUAGCCACCACGGCUCCCCUCCGCGCCUGCCGCUGUGCCGCCGCCGCCGUUCCCCUCCGCGCCUGCUGCUCUCACGCCGCCGCCACUGCCGCAGCUCCACUCAAGGCUGUUGCUGCUUGUGGAGUCGUGGUCUCGGUCCCCAUGGAUAAGGAGAGGAAAGAAGAAAGUAGGUCGUCGGGCCGCAGGGAGCGAGCAGCGAAGCCAGAGACAGAGCACCGUGUGGAGCGCUCGAUGGCAGUUUUUUUCGGAGGCACCGGCACUGCCUUACACCUGCGUCGGUGAUGCUCUAAAAGGCCACGGGAGCUAUCGUUCACAGGGGGAAGCUGGAGGCAGACCGGCCUGAUGCAAGGGCAGCGCGACCCACGCGCCCAAGACGACGGCGCACACCACAACGAGAACACGUCCAACAGGGAGCUAUGAUCGAGGAGUCCAGACGCAGGGCAGCCCUCACGCGCCCAAGGCGACGGCGCACAAUCAAAGGCGAACAGGUCCAUGAGGCGCCCAAGGCAAACAGGUCCGUAGACAUCAAGGCUAUGCGGCCGUCUUGACCGCGGCCGGCCACGACGACAUGCGCUCGUCCAAGGAGGGCUCCGUACAGGGAGAUACGUUUUUCUUUCAUCAUGGUACGUAAAGAUUCUUCUACCUUUCUCUCUUUUUCAGGUGCCAUGGAGAUAACGCAGGCGGGAGGCAUGCCGUUGUCUCUGGAGCUUAGCGGCAUGAUUUUGCGACCAUCGUGACUGCUGUCACGGGCCGUGCGUCUUGUUUCUAGCGCCCGCUCGGUGCGGGAUGUCGUGUUCAUCAUAACUAGCACACGUCCGUUCACGGCGGUGGUACAGUCGUGGACGAUGUGUACAUACUACACGCCUAGGUAGGGUGUUCUUCAUCAACAAGUGCCAUCAUCAAGGCAUGGUAGCCAUGCCCAUAUGGUGUCCACUGAGACACCGCCAUAUAUGGCGCCAGGUGCCAUGGAGGUGCAUGCAGGAGGCAUGCCAUUGUCUCCAGAGCUUAGCAAUCACACUUUGGCGCCCGCCCGAUGCGGGGCGCCGUCUUCAUCAAUAGCUCAUCAACGUCCGCCUAAGCGCCAUCGUGUGCGACGGUGCGGAGUGGGCGACGUCUACACAGUGCUCGCCCCGGGCGAAGCGCUACCAUGCUGAACGGGGCGUCGUCUUCAUCUACAAGCUAGCUGACAUCAACCUGAACGACGCCGCCGGUGGCGGCACAGUGGUUUGGUGAUGUCUACAUUCCGACCGUCAAGCGUUGCCGCUCGUGGCGGCCUUCUACGUGGUGCCCGUCGAGACACCACAACACAUGGCACGUCCUUCAUGGCGGCUAGACACCACCGCUCAUGGCGGCCUUCUACGUGAUGUCUGCUGAGACACCACCAUACAUGGUGCCCAUCUUGGCGCACUUUUCAUAGGUUGUCUCCAUGCUAAGACACCGCCGCUCGUGGCGGCCUUCUACGUGGUGUCGCCGAACACCGCCGCCGACGGCGCCCGCAUUGGUGCAUCCCUCACAGGUUAGCAUCGUGUCAUGUCCAUCUUGGCGCACUAUUCGCAGGUUGUCUCCAUGCUAAGACACCGCCGCUCGUGGCGGCCUUCUACGCGGUGUCUGCCGAGACACCACCAUACAAGGCGCCAGCCUUGGCGCAUCCUUCACAGCUUAUUAUCAUUGAUACGCCACAGCUCGUGGUGGCCUUCUACGUGGUGUCCGCUGAUACACCGUCAUACAAGACGCCCGCCUUGGCACACUGUUCACCAACUUGGCAUCGGUAUGCCGCCACUCGUGGCGGCCUUCUACGGUGUCCGCGGAGACACCGCCAUACACGGCGCCCGCCUUGGCGCACUCUUCACCAACUUGGCAUCAGCACGCCGCCGCUCGUGGCGGCCUUCUACGUGGUCUCCGCAGAGACACCAACGUACAAGGCGCCCGCCUUGGCGCACUCUUCACCAACUCCUGGCGAGGUCUCUUGCACCUCCAACAGCACCUAUAUCAUCAUCUUCAACAUCAAGUAUGCUCCCUCAUCCACAUUGUCGAUGGCAUUCCGGCAUCUAACCAUCUUCCCCAACACCGGCGAGGCGAAGCCACUCCACCAACAUGACCGUGUACCGAUGAAGUACAUCACCAACAUCACAUGCUCUUGCUGGGCACCGACGAGGCAAAGGCAAGGCAUUCUGUCCGGUCCGACGAGGCGGACAUUUUACAGGCUGGGUAUCGACGAGGCGAAGGCCACUUCAUCAACCUGUCUAGCUGACAAGGCGUGUGUCAGCUGGACAUUUCAUCAUACAACGACAAGACAACGGAGCACAUUGUUCGGCACCUACAUGGUCGAACAGUCGUGGCUUAGCUUCGACGGAGUGGGGUCGUACCACCCCUCUCUUCCUCUUCAUCACCACCAUCUUCCACACCAAGCACAAGGAGAAGACAAGACUUGAAGACGACACCAUUGCAGCAGCUUAAUCGGAGGUGGUCUGCAGGCUUGACCUACGGACGUAAUUAAGCGGGAGCUUUCUGAGGCCUCGUGAACCAGGAGACCACAAUCGCCCAUGUCAUGUUGGCCGUGCUAGCAGGCCACACUGAGCGCAUUAUUUUUACAGGGAACUUGUAAUUUCGUUUCUCAAUAUAAGAUUAAUAAAAUACAUGUUUCCCUACUUUAUCUUUGUUUAUUUGUGUACAUUAGUACACUGGCACGCCCGCACCUUUUUAUUUCCCCUGGCGCAUUUGAGAAAAUACACUCUCUGCCUUAGAGAGUUUCAUUAUUUUUCUCACCAAACAACGGACAGUC